UACGUAGGGUGCAAGCGUUACUCGGAAUUACUGGGCGUAAAGCGUGCGCAGGCGGUUAUGUAAGACAGGUGUGAAAUCCCCGGGCUUAACCUGGGAACUGCAUUUGUGACUGCAUAGCUAGAGUACGGCAGAGGGGGAUGGAAUUCCGCGUGUAGCAGUGAAAUGCGUAGAUAUGCGGAGGAACACCGAUGGCGAAGGCAAUCCCCUGGGCCUGUACUGACGCUCAUGCACGAAAGCGUGGGGAGCAAACAGG
rnacentral:rRNA from 1 species